GACAACAAAGCAACUAACCUUUGAAGUCUUAAACUAAACACGUCCACAACAAGAGGAACGCACCCCACACGCGGAAAGAAACUAACCUACAACAAGAGGAACGCGCCCCACGCGCGGAAAGAAAAAGAACAGAGGAGUGAGAGUGCGAUCUCUCCCGGCCGAACGCCGCCGGCACUCCAGCCGCUGCGUUCCGGUCCGGGAGAGGACGGUGGUUCGGGCUAGCGGUGCGGUUCUAUGGCAGAGGUGUGGUCCAAGGAUGGUGACGGGUUGUUUGAUUUUGGGGUGGACAGAUCGAUUUCGAUAUGUUCUUUUCAGAUCGUGGGCGAGUGCAGAUGAGGAGCAGCGCCGGCUUGCGACCUGCCGGCAGUGGUUUUUGGCAUCACAGUUGCAACUAGGAUCUGGGCAAUGGCUGGGAUUUCGAUCUCAUGGUGGAGACGAGCCCGGAGAGGGUGUUUCUCAUUUUGGGAUCCGAUCUCGGAUGGCGGCUAGGUUUUGGGGUGGUCUGCUGUGUAGCGCGGCGGCGUGGUGGCGUAGGACUGCGACGCGGCGGCGUGGCUGUGCAAGGCAGGGGCGUGGUGACGGCAGAGCACGUUGGCACCGGGGUUGGUGGCCUGCUGAGCUGUGUCCUUUGGGGGAGUGGUAUUUGGACCAGGCCUUUGUUUUAGGGCCUUGCUGGUGGUUCUUGUUUUAUUAUCUGUUUUUUGCUUGUUUGGUUGUUCUUUUUUCUAUUGUUGCUUUGCCGGUAAUAAACUCCAACCGUGUUCCGGUUGGAGGCAGUGGCCUGUGUGUCAGUCUUUGCACCUUGUGUGCUUGUUUUGCUCUAGGUAGGCGGUGAGUUCCUUGCACUUGCAAAUGGUCGCUGCCUCUUAGUAACAGAGUGAAAUUAAGUGUCACUGGAUGUAAUGUCCAGUUGCAUAAUGAUGGGAAAGAUGUGCGUAUGGUAGUUAUGCUUUGCUAUAAUCGGGUUGUAGAUCAAGUAGGCCUGGCAUUUGAGCCCGUGACCCGCAAACCCGCCCGAAACCCGCACGGUAAAAGCCCGCACGAACCCGCCCAUUUAUUAAAUUCGUGCUUAGAAAGCCCGCACGCAAAAAGCCCGCAAAUUAACGGGCCUUGCGUGCUAAGCCCACUGGAACCCAUUGGAACCCGUUUACUUCCAAACAAACCCACUCCGACCCUUUCGACUCAGCAACUCUCUCUCUGUGGAACGCAACCCUGAAUCUGAGCAGUGAGCACAGCAGCCUCCCAUUCAUUUCCGUCACCCAAAUCCCAACUCUCUCUCUCUCUCAUCUCUCUCUGCGCGCCCAAUUUCUCAAGAUUUCUGGGUUUCUGAUCUAAUCAUGUCCAGUUUCAAAGCUUCUGCAAUUUGAAUUUUGUUGCUGCAUGUUUAGUUAAUUGAACACCCAUGCCAGUUGACAAAGAGAUGGAAUUUGAAUAUGGUUGUACUGUUGUAGCAUGUUUUUGUUGUUUAUAUGAAGAACUAGAAACUGAAGGAUCCAGAUGAGUUUAUGAGAUUGGUUGAAGUUUUUGUGCUGAGUUUCCUUGCCGUGAUGGAUGAUCUGCAUAGAGUGUGGUUUCUGCUUAUUUUUAGUUGUUCGCUACUUUAUUUUCUGUUCAGGGUACCGUAGAAGCAUGAAUUGUGCUAUAGAAGGUCAUAGGAAACGAGAAGGGAGAGGGAAUUCAUGAUUAUAUGUGGUGAAAUCGAAAUUGAUCGUGAGGUUAUUGCUGGAACUGAGAUAGUAACAUAAUGAGUCUGUUAUGACACACAAAUUCGUCAUGUAUUGUUUAAAGGGGGAAGUAAUUUUAAGAACUACAUGUGGUUGCUUUAGUGCUUAUUCACUGUACAGAAUGCAACAUAAUAGCUUCCUUUAGCAUGGUAUAUAUUUGGUUGAUGUGGAAUUUUAUGUUGAUUUAAUGGAUUUGGAAAAAAAAAAAAUUAUAUACAUAAGUCUUAAUUCUAGUUGCUUAAAAAAAAAAAAAAAAAAAUCUCUUAACGGGUUUUUAACGGGUUCCAACGGAAAACCCGCAAACCCGCCGGGUUUAGCCCGCGAAACCCGUUAACUUAACGGGUUUUUACCGGGUCGGUCCGUUAAAAACCCGGCCCGUUAAGAACCCGCACCGUACCCGCACUAUACCCGCACGUUGCCAGGCCUAAGAUCAAGUUAUAUUUCCGUUGUGUCAUCGCUGCGUUAAAGCAGUUAAAGCAAAUAGAGUCGCCAGUAGAGCACUCUUUGUUAGUUGGUGCUUUGUUGAGUACAAGCGUUUAGUAGAGACUCAUGAUAGUAUUUCAGGAGGUUCUACUUAUUGUAAUCAGGGGUUUAGGCUCAUUGUCCCCCCUUGUAUUCGACAGUUUCUUUAAUCAAGGCUAUCAAGGCUUGAGGGCUGCCACACC